AGGUCAUUUCAAAGAGGGCUUACAUGGCUUUGAAACCAGAAGCUCUUAACGCUGUGACCUAAGAGGAAAAGUCUCUAUAGGAUGCCAUGAUUAAUUACCAUAAUUAUCAUGGUCUCUUACUAAUGAGAGAUACAAGC
ensembl:snoRNA